UUCAGCGUUAAUUUCCUUGUGCUUCAAAUCUACAGUGAGAUGGGUGUUUACUGUAAAUGUUGUGUGUGUUUAUUCUUGUCAGUUUCCGCAGGCUUUGUUUUUAGUCCGUUGUUUUGGUUUCCCAGGAGCGGCAUGAAAGCACAUUGACGUCCCUCCAAACAGGAAGUCAGAAACAGUCGAGUGAGUUGAUGAAGUGAAGUGGACAGUGAUCUUGGGACUUUUCAGUAUCUUCAUGAAGGACCGCUUCAGAUGUUUCUUUACAGACAUUUAUCAUAUUCCAUAAGACGGAGCGGUGGAAAGGUGCCUGGAUAAAAGCUCUUAGGGGUUUGGAGAAGCAGGGAAAUUCCUGCGACUGCUGUUUAUAGCUCCGUCUCCACUCGCGCUGAACCCAAACCACCAAAUAUUCUGCAGCAGGACUUUAUAGAUUCUUCUCAACACGCAGAGAUCCUGAACACACAUCAGAGACCACACGCUUCUUCACUUUCAUACACUGGGUUUGUUGACGCCUCUGCUCGCCGUAACUGCUUUUAUUUGUUUGAAAAUACAGUAAAAUGCGUAACAUUGUUCAAUAUUAUAGCAAUUUAAAAUCUGUGUGAAUGUAACUUCAUUUAUUUUUGUAUUUUCAAACAGCUCCUACAGAAAUCGUUUUAAUAUUAAAUGUCAAACUGUAAUAUUUACAUUGCAAUAGUAAUUAUUAAACUGCAAUAUUAAUUCUAGGGCUGUCGAAUGAUUGAAAUAAAAAAAAAAAUUGGA